rnacentral:pre_miRNA from 1 species
CAUGUACUCCCUCAGUUCGGAAUUACUUGUCGUAGAAAUGGAUGUAUCUAGAUAUAUUUUAGUUCUAGAUACAUCCAUUUCCGAGACAAGUAAUUCCGAACGGAGGGAGUAUUAG